rnacentral:rRNA from 1 species
UACGAAGGGGGCUAGCGUUGUUCGGAAUUACUGGGCGUAUAGCGCGCGUAGGCGGUGAUCUUUGUCAGAGGUGAAAUCCCGAGGCUCAACUUCGGAAUUGCCUUUGAAACGGGAUCGCUUGAGUCCGAGAGAGGAUGGCGGAAUUCCUAGUGUAGAGGUGAAAUUCGUAGAUAUUAGGAAGAACACCGGUGGCGAAGGCGGCCAUCUGGCUCGGUACUGACGCUCAGGCGCGAAAGCGUGGGGAGCAAACAGG